rnacentral:rRNA from 1 species
CCUGAUGGAGGGGGAUAACUACUGGAAACGGUAGCUAAUACCGCAUAACGUCGCAAGACCAAAGAGGGGGACCUUCGGGCCUCUUGCCAUCAGAUGUGCCCAGAUGGGAUUAGCUAGUAGGUGGGGUAACGGCUCACCUAGGCGACGAUCCCUAGCUGGUCUGAGAGGAUGACCAGCCACACUGGAACUGAAACACGGUCCAGACUCCUACGGGAGGCAGCAGUGGGGAAUAUUGCACAAUGGGCGCAAGCCUGAUGCAGCCAUGCCGCGUGUAUGAAGAAGGCCUUCGGGUUGUAAAGUACUUUCAGCGGGGAGGAAGGUGUUGUGGUUAAUAACCGCAGCAAUUGACGUUACCCGCAGAAGAAGCACCGGCUAACUCCGUGCCAGCAGCCGCGGUAAU